UACAGAGGUCCCAAGCGUUGUUCGGAUUCACUGGGCGUAAAGGGUGCGUAGGCGGUCGGGUAAGUCUGAUGUGAAAUCUCACAGCUUAACUGUGAAACUGCAUUGGAUACUAUCCGGCUAGAGGAAUGGAGGGGAGACUGGAAUACUUGGUGUAGCAGUGAAAUGCGUAGAUAUCAAGUGGAACACCAGUGGCGAAGGCGAGUCUCUGGACAUUUCCUGACGCUGAGGCGCGAAAGCCAGGGGAGCGAACGGG
rnacentral:rRNA from 1 species